UGCACCGAAGCUGCGGCAGCGACACUAUGUGUUGUUGGGUAGGGGAGCGUUCUGUAAGCCUGUGAAGGUGUGUCGUGAGGCAUGCUGGAGGUAUCAGAAGUGCGAAUGCUGACAUAAGUAACGAUAAAGCGGGUGAAAAGCCCGCUCGCCGGAAGACCAAGGGUUCCUGUCCAACGUUAAUCGGGGCAGGGUGAGUCGACCCCUAAGGCGAGGCCGAAAGGCGUAGUCGAUGGGAAACGGGUUAAUAUUCCCGUACUUGGUGUUACUGCGAAGGGGGGACGGAGAAGGCUAUGUUGGCCGGGCGACGGUUGUCCCGGUUUAAGCGUGUAGGUGUGUGUUCCAGGUAAAUCCGGUUCACUUUAACACUGAGGCGUGACGACGAGGCACUACGGUGCUGAAGCAACAAAUGCCCUGCUUCCAGGAAAAGCCUCUAAGCAUCAGGUAACAUCAAAUCGUACCCCAAACCGACACAGGUGGUCAGGUAGAGAAUACCAAGGCGCUUGAGAGAACUCGGGUGAAGGAACUAGGCAAAAUGGUGCCGUAACUUCGGGAGAAGGCACGCUGACACGUAGGUGAAGUGAUUUACUCAUGGAGCUGAAGUCAGUCGAAGAUACCAGCUGGCUGCAACUGUUUAUUAAAAACACAGCACUGUGCAAACACGAAAGUGGACGUAUACGGUGUGACGCCUGCCCGGUGCCGGAAGGUUAAUUGAUGGGGUCAGCGCAAGCGAAGCUCCUGAUCGAAGCCCCGGUAAACGGCGGCCGUAACUAUAACGGUCCUAAGGUAGCGAAAUUCCUUGUCGGGUAAGUUCCGACCUGCACGAAUGGCGUAAUGAUGGCCAGGCUGUCUCCACCCGAGACUCAGUGAAAUUGAACUCGCUGUGAAGAUGCAGUGUACCCGCGGCAAGACGGAAAGACCCCGUGAACCUUUACUAUAGCUUGACACUGAACAUUGAGCCUUGAUGUGUAG
rnacentral:rRNA from 2 species